CCUACGGGUGGCAGCAGUGGGGAAUAUUGGACAAUGGGCGAAAGCCUGAUCCAGCCAUGCCGCGUGUGUGAAGAAGGCCUUCGGGUUGUAAAGCACUUUCAGUGGGGAAGAAAGCCUUGGGGCUAAUACCCUCGAGGAAGGACAUCACCCACAGAAGAAGCACCGGCUAACUCCGUGCCAGCAGCCGCGGUAAUACGGAGGGUGCGAGCGUUAAUCGGAAUUACUGGGCGUAAAGCGCGCGUAGGCGGUCUGAUAAGCCGGUUGUGAAAGCCCCGGGCUCAACCUGGGAACGGCAUCCGGAACUGUCAGGCUAGAGUGCAGGAGAGGAAGGUAGAAUUCCCGGUGUAGCGGGGAAAUGCGUAGAGAUCGGGAGGAAUACCAGUGGCGAAGGCGGCCUUCUGGACUGACACUGACGCUGAGGUGCGAAAGCGUGGGUAGCAAACAGGAUUAGAUACCCUGGUAGU
rnacentral:rRNA from 1 species